rnacentral:rRNA from 1 species
AUUGAACGCUGGCGGCAGGCCUAACACAUGCAAGUCGAGCGGAUGAAGGGAGCUUGCUCCUGGAAUCAGCGGCGGACGGGUGAGUAAUGCCUAGGAAUCUGCCUGGUAGUGGGGGAUAACGUCCGGAAACGGGCGCUAAUACCGCAUACGUCCUGAGGGAGAAAGUGGGGGAUCUUCGGACCUCACGCUAUCCGAUGAGCCUAGGUCGGAUUAGCUAGUUGGUGGGGUAAAGGCCUACCAAGGCGACGAUCCGUAACUGGUCUGAGAGGAUGAUCAGUCACACUGGAACUGAGACACGGUCCAGACUCCUACGGGAGGCAGCAGUGGGGAAUAUUGGACAAUGGGCGAAAGCCUGAUCCAGCCAUGCCGCGUGUGUGAAGAAGGUCUUCGGAUUGUAAAGCACUUUAAGUUGGGAGGAAGGGCAGUAAGUUAAUACCUUGCUGUUUUGACGUUACCAACAGAAUAAGCACCGGCUAACUUCGUG